CAACUUUCAACAACGGAUCUCUUGGCUCUCGCAUCGAUGAAGAACGCAGCGAAAUGCGAUAAGUAAUGUGAAUUGCAGAAUUCAGUGAAUCAUCGAAUCUUUGAACGCACCUUGCGCUCCUUGGUAUUCCGAGGAGCAUGCCUGUUUGAGUGUUAUGA
rnacentral:rRNA from 2 species